rnacentral:rRNA from 1 species
UACACACCGCCCGUCACACCAUGGGAGUGGGUUGUACCAGAAGCAAGUAGACCAACCUUCGGGAAGUCGCUUACCACGGUAUGAUUCAUGACUGGGGUG